GUCGGUUUUCUUUGACCUUUUGCAGUAACUCCUUGAAAUGAUUUCUGAAGUGGGUUCUAUUCAAAAGAUCUUUUCUUAAUGUUUGAUUUAUAAGUUAAACAUUCCUACAGAUUAUAAAGAUGUCGUUUACAAGGAAAGCUAUCCUUAGAAGAACUCAGAAGAAGUGCACAUCAUCGUGAGUUAUUUUUCUCUUCCUUUUACUGACUCUUUCUUUUAGCCUUUUUUAUUCUGAUAUAAAGUUUACUAUGCCAGACAUUUAAGAAGAAAAUUUGGGCUUCUUGUAAGGCACAAGGGUUGUAUGAAGCGCGCAAAAGCCUAUCUCCAAAAUUUGCAGACUAUGCUUGUAAGUUCAAUUUUGACACAAUUAAUCAGUUUACUCUCUUUAGUCUUUUCUCUGUUUUUAAUGUCCUUCCAAUCGUCAAUUUAAUAUCUGAAAGGGCAGUAUUUAUACAGUUGAUAAAUCAGAGGGGGCAUUGUGGGAAAGAGUGAUAAUUUGGUGGGGUGGAAUGGAUUGUAUUCUGAAAAUUAAAGAGAACCUCAUAGGGGAUUCAUUAUAUCUAAUGCAGAAAUUUCUAAAGCUAAAUGCCUACCUGGAUGAGCUAAAUGACAAGACUGACGUGAUACUUGCCGAGAUGCGAGAGAUAAAAGCCGAACAAUAAGAGUUGAACGCUGAAGAGGAAGAGGUAAUUGCCGAACUGGAAACCACGGAAAGCGAAAUAAAAGAAUUAGAAAAAACAUUUGAAGAUAUGUUGCAGGUACCAUUUCGACCAUGUAUUUGAUAGUGGAUGGAUGAAUUGAGGUUUCAACUUUUAGUUUUCAUUCAUAUUUUUAUACUACAAUUUUUAUGUCAUUACAGAAACACAUGGAAGAGGCAAUUGCUAGUGACCUGAUGAAUUUACCUGAGGAUAGAGCCCUUACAGAAACUAAAGAAAAUGGCAGCUCUUAGACAUUGAAUAGACAUCAUGGUUGGAGCAAAUCGAUACACACACACAUAUGAACAUUACAUUUGCUUGUGCAAUUUAACGAUUGGAAUUAUAGGAGCAAGGAAUAAUUUGGUAUGAAAUAUUAUCUUGCGUGAUUUGAACUGUUAUUUUUAUCUUUGUUAUUUGUUUUUUCUAGUGCUCUGAAGUGUUAUUCUUCAACAAUACUUAUUAAUUAUUCAUUCAUAACCUUCCCU
rnacentral:lncRNA from 1 species